UGUUUGUAUAGUGUGUGUAUAUAAUGCAGUGUAUUUGUGUAGUGUGCAUUAUAUAAACACACUACACAAACACACUGCAUUAUAUACACACACUAUGCAAAC
rnacentral:miRNA from 1 species